GAACUGCGAUAAGUAAUGUGAAUUGCAGAAUUCAGUGAAUCAUCGAGUCUUUGAACGCACAUUGCGCCCCCUGGCAUUCCGGGGGGCAUGCCUGUCCGAGCGUCAUUGCUGCCCUUCAAGCCCGGCUUGUGUGUUGGGUCGUCGUCCCCCUCGGGGGACGGGCCCGAAAGGCAGCGGCGGCACCGUGUCCGGUCCUCGAGCGUAUGGGGCUUUGUCACCCUCUCGAUUAGGGCCGGCCGGGCGCCAGCCGGCGUCUCCAACCUUAUUUUUCUCAGGUUGACCUCGGAUCAGGUAGGGAUACCCGCUGUACUUAAGC
rnacentral:misc_RNA from 1 species